rnacentral:rRNA from 1 species
CGAAGUGCUUCGGCACUUAGUGGCGGACGGGUGAGUAACGCGUGAGAAUCUGCCAAAAGGACUGGGACAACAGCUGGAAACGGCUGCUAAUACCGGAUAUGCCAGAAAGUGAAAUGGGUAAAACCGCCUUUUGAUGAGCUCGCGUCCGAUUAGCUAGUUGGUGGGGUAAAAGCCUACCAAGGCGACGAUCGGUAACUGGUCUGAGAGGAUGACCAGUCACACUGGGACUGAGACACGGCCCAGACUCCUACGGGAGGCAGCAGUGGGGAAUUUUCCGCAAUGGGCGAAGGCCUGACGGAGCAAUACCGCGUGAGGGAGGAAGGCUCUUGGGUUGUAAACCUCUUUUCUCAGGGAAGAACACAAUGACGGUACCUGAGGAAUCAGCAUCGGCUAACUCCGUGCCAGCAGCCGCGGUAAUACGGAGGAUGCAAGCGUUAUCCGGAAUGAUUGGGCGUAAAGCGUCCGCAGGUGGCUUUGCAAGUCUGCUGUCAAAGCUCAGGGCUUAACCCUGAAUCGGCGGUGGAAACUGAAAGGCUAGAGUGUGGUAGGGGCAGAGGGAAUUCCCAGUGUAGCGGUGAAAUGCGUAGAGAUUGGGAAGAACACCAGUGGCGAAAGCGCUCUGCUAGACCGCAACUGACACCCAUGGACGAAAGCUAGGGGAGCGAAUGGGAUUAGAUAC